rnacentral:rRNA from 1 species
AGUGAACGCUGGCGGUAGGCCUAACACAUGCAAGUCGAACGGCAGCACAGUAAGAGCUUGCUCUUACGGGUGGCGAGUGGCGGACGGGUGAGGAAUACAUCGGAAUCUACUUUUUCGUGGGGGAUAACGUAGGGAAACUUACGCUAAUACCGCAUACGACCUACGGGUGAAAGCAGGGGAUCUUCGGACCUUGCGCGAUUGAAUGAGCCGAUGUCGGAUUAGCUAGUUGGCGGGGUAAAGGCCCACCAAGGCGACGAUCCGUAGCUGGUCUGAGAGGAUGAUCAGCCACACUGGAACUGAGACACGGUCCAGACUCCUACGGGAGGCAGCAGUGGGGAAUAUUGGACAAUGGGCGCAAGCCUGAUCCAGCCAUACCGCGUGGGUGAAGAAGGCCUUCGGGUUGUAAAGCCCUUUUGUUGGGAAAGAAAAGAAGCAGGUUAAUACCCCGUUGUUCUGACGGUACCAAAAGAAUAAGCACCGGCUAACUUCGUG